UACAGAGGAUGCAAGCGUUAUCCGGAAUGAUUGGGCGUAAAGCGUCUGUAGGUGGCUUUUUAAGUCCGCCGUCAAAUCCCAGGGCUCAACUCUGGACAGGCGGUGGAAACUACCAAGCUGGAGUACGGUAGGGGCAGAGGGAAUUUCCGGUGGAGCGGUGAAAUUCGUAGAUAUUCGCAAGAACACCGGUGGCGACGGCGGCCAACUGGACCAUUACUGACGCUGAGGCGCGAAAGCGUGGGGAGCAAACAGG
rnacentral:rRNA from 1 species